UGUAGAGCACAGGGAACUCUAUCCAGUCUCCUGGGAUAAACCCUAAUGGAAAAGAACAUUGACAAAAGAAUGGAUAUAUGUGUAUAACGGAGCCACUUGGCUUUAUGGCAGAGACUGGCACACCAUCGUAAGUCGACUGCACUUCAAUUUAAAAAAAAAGAUACAGGCCCCCGAGUCUGGAAAAAUCCACAGAAUGGACCUGCUGCUGCAGGGUCAACUUAGGGCAAAGUAGGGAGGUGGGGGACAGAGUUCUGGGGUGCAAGAACCCCCUCCCACCUGCUUGGGGGUCUCCAUCUGCUGCCCCUCCCUCUCCAGGCUGAGGAGCUUCGCGAUGGAUGGGGGAAGGGAGGCAAGACCCUCGCCCCUGAGCGUGGGAGGCUGGGGCCUGGGCUGCCUCUGCCCCCUCAGCCCCCACAACUGCUUUCCUCGGGGGACGCAUGCGCCUCGGGAGAAGACGUGGCUCCGCUUGGCAAGGCAUCGGGACGGUGCCUGUGCUGAGGUCAGAUCCUGGCUGCGCCGCCAGGGCUUCGGGACCGUCUGACACUUGGACAGGGUCUGAGGUGUGCUCAGGGACCCCAGGCCCAGUGUCCGCGUCACCCACAACCACAGGGACCCCCUCGGCCUCCCAUUUCUUCAGCCCUGCCGAGGGCGACGUGCUGGCUGCCAGGAAGAGGGGAGACCCCCAGACCCACCCCCAGGAAAGGCUCCCUCCACCGAGGGCCGCCCGCCCUCACCUCCAGUGCAGCCAGGCUCCCUGCCCUGCGCUCUGGUUCAAGUUCACGCUCUCCCCCGUGCCUGUGAGAGGUCUUCGCGGCGGGAGGGGCUGCCAGUGCCCCCUUGGGCCCCAGGGACCACCAAGGGUCUCUGAUGCUGAGGACCCAUCAGCUGGCCCUCCCGCGGCUUGGCCUCCGUGGCUGUGCUCUCCUGACGCCCAGCCUUUGGCUCAUUUGAGGCCACAGAACUUUCUAGACUGCAUUGGAAGGAGAGGGCAAAGCCAUAGGAAGGAGACUGUGGGCCUUGCUGUCUGCAUUUUCUAAGUAUCCUGAGAUAGUUAGCACAAAACAUUUCUUCUAAGGUUGCCAGCUCCAGGUAAGCUGACGCCAACCGUGCGUGCGUGCCUGGCCCUGAACCCUCGGACCAGCCGCCGGCUGUGCCCUGGCCCCUCUGUCCUCCCUCCCCGGCCUCUGUCGUGUUCCCUGUCCCCUGGCUUCUCUGCCCCACCGCUGUUUAAGGCUCUCCUGCAUCUGUCUCUCAUGACAGGGUGCAGAGGACACACCACUGCAUCUUAAUACAGACACGGUGUCCAAACUCAGAGUCACCCCGCAGGGGUAUCCUCUCUCUUACCUCAGCUGGCGUAAAUAUGAUGAGCUGAGAGCUAGUUAGAACCUUUACAGACGGUUGUAAUUAGAGCUGCACAAUUUGUGGAGAUGCAUGUUGUCGAGGAUUUGGGGGUCAUUUACCAUUGAAAAUUCUGCAUAUGCUAAUUAUAUUUUUCUCUCCCUCUUGGUUCCUUGGGGUUUUGUUGUCGUUGUUCUUUUUCUCAUUCUCUCUUUUUUCUGUAAUCACAAAAUCCACAGAGAGAAUACUGGAGUGAGCUGGUCAACUUUGCAAUACUUGGGCUUCCCGGCAACAACUUUGUGAAAAAGAAACGCAAACAGAUCAUCGGUUUGGGCCACAGGGAAGGAAGCCUGGCUGUGCUGCGUGCAGGACUCUGGGCCCAGGCGGAUUCUCAACCACUGCGCCACCAGGGAAGCCCCUGAGCACAUAGGUUUGACCUGGCGGCGGGAGGAGGCUGCGGUCUGAGUAGUUCAGGUCGCCCACGUGGGUGCCUCACACCUAUGCAACUGACCCCCAGUAAAACCCUGGACGCCAAGGUGCAUGAGCCUCCCUGGUUGGCAAUGCCCCACACGGGUUGUCACAAGCCGUUGCCAGAGAAUUAGCAGCGUCCGCAAGACUCCACUGGGAGAGACAGGGCGAGCUCAGCCUGCUGCCUCCUGGCCUCCUCUCCGCACUCCUCUCGCUUGUAGAUUCUCAUCUGCAUCCUUUCACUAUAAUAAACUGUAACCUCUGUGUCCUGUGAGUCUUUCUAGAGGGUCAUCAAACUUACAGGUGGUCUUGGGGACCCCGGCACAUCCUUCUCCCCAGAAACGUCCCCCACUGGAGCCUCCAUUAGAGCAGGAUUAAGAUGAUUCCUGCCCUUUAUGGGAGAAAGGGACCUUCUAAAAUUCUCAUAACAGGAUGGAUGGAUAGCUGUGAAGGGGAGGAAAAUGACGUCACCUCCUUUUGCUGCCACUAAGACUUGAGGUCCAGCAGAUCCAGCCCAGCCCUCGUCCCCAGCGUGAAUCCCAAGGGAGGGUGUUGGGCCUCUCGUCGCGGGUUCUAGGACAGUCAGAGCAGCGUGGUGCCCGUCCUGUUAACAGCCUCGGUGUUGCUCUCAAGCUGGGUUCCUACACUGAAGCCGCCCAUGGUGGUCGGCCGCUCGGAAGCCUGACGUCCCCACCGCCCAUGGGCCUCGUGCGAGGUCCUUCCUCUCUCUGGGCUCAGUUUCUCCACCUGAAGAAUGAGCAGCAGGGUUCCUGCCUCAAAGGGUAGAUGAAACCGUACGACCUUUGCGAAGCACAUGGUUCAGUGCCCAACAUGUCCGUGUUAGCACUGGAAAUGGUGUCAGGGGUACAGUCUCAGCCCUGAGCCCCAAUCAGCAGGGCUGGAAGCUGUCACACCCUCCCAGGUUACUCAGCUUCCACCGGCUUCUGUGCCACCUGCGAGACGGGGACGGUAACAGCUCCUGCACAGCACUGCUGUUGGGGGCCAUGAACCCCGACACACACCUGAGACGAAGUGCAUCUCCAAUAAAAGCCGGCUGUCGUUAUCCAAGUUCUAGGGGGCACAAGUCAAGUGUCUUAGCAUCAAGUUCCUCACCUAGGAAACCAGGAACACGCCCACUACUCACCUGGUCUUUGUGGGGCUGGGUGAAGCUUAGCCCACGCCUGCCUGGCUCCAGGACCCUCGUCCCCAGGGUGGGCCUGGGGGAGGGGUUGCCACCUGGGAGGAUGCUCCAGGGGUGGGGACUAUGGGGCAGAGCCCUCGAUGGCAAUCCCAGGUCUCUCUCUGAGCGGGUCACUGGAAGCACCUGAAGUCCACCCUGCCCUGGACUUUUCACUUGCAAGAGGUCGUAAAUUAUCAUUAUCAUUAAAGCCCGUUCGAGGCGAUGCUUCUAUUACUUGUAGCCUCAAACUCCCUGAUUAAUGCUAGUACUAUCCUUAUUUCACAGGUGAGAAAACUGAGGCUCAGAGAGAUCAGGUGACAGGCCCUGCAAGGCAGAGCAGGUGCCUUCAGCCUCAACAGCACCCUGACUCCUACAGUCCCUGCUACCUUGUGAGGUGCAAACUCUAUUGCCUGGGCUGAGGAACCCCAAGCCAAGCCCUUACUGUCCAUUU